UACGAAGGGGGCUAGCGUUGUUCGGAAUUACUGGGCGUAAAGCGUGCGCAGGCGGCUUCUCAAGUCAGGGGUGAAAGCCCAGAGCUCAACUCUGGAAUUGCCUUUGAGACUGAGUGGCUUGAGUACGGGAGAGGUGAGUGGAAUUCCCAGUGUAGAGGUGAAAUUCGUAGAUAUUCGGAAGAACACCAGUGGCGAAGGCGACUUACUGGACACAUAUUGACGCUGAGGUGCGAAAGCGUGGGGAGCAAACAGG
rnacentral:rRNA from 1 species